rfam:Capsicum annuum cultivar Zunla-1 chromosome 6, whole genome shotgun sequence
AACCAUGAAAUGAGCGCAAAGCAAACUAUUAUUUUGCCCUUUACUAAAGAAUACCGCGUGUGUGCUACCAUUAGUGGCAUAUGCUAAUUUUUGGAGGGUUUACUCUUUAUUGAGUGC